rnacentral:rRNA from 1 species
UACGUAGGGGGCAAGCGUUGUCCGGAUUUACUGGGCGUAAAGAGCGCGCAGGCGGUCGUUCAAGUCGCGUGUGAAAGCCCCCGGCUCAACUGGGGAGGGUCACGCGAUACUGAUCGACUCGAAGGCAGGAGAGGGAAGUGGAAUUCCCGGUGUAGUGGUGAAAUGCGUAGAUAUCGGGAGGAACACCAGUGGCGAAGGCGACUUCCUGGCCUGUUAUUGACGCUGAGGAGCGAAAGCUAGGGGAGCAAACGGG